rnacentral:misc_RNA from 1 species
GUUUAUCAAUAGUUGGAAAUUCGGAACUCCCCAAUGUGAUAUUAUUUGAUAGUUCUACGAUAAGGAAGAAAAAAAGCAUCCGUCUACAUAGCAUCCUUGGAUAACAGGUCAUUGGUUUCUACUCUCCGGGCAUUGCAGAGAUCAUCAGCAGCGUCCCCUCUUUCAAAAACAGCCGCUGCUCCCAUUCCCGUGCCUAUGCACAUGGACACCACCCCAAAGCGACAAUCUCUACCCCGACGCUUCAUCUCAUGCAGUAGAGUGGCUAAACAGCGGG